CAAGGCUUGACAUAUACGAGAACGGGCCAGAAAUGGCCAACUCUUUGGACACUCGUAAACAGGUGGUGCAUGGUUGUCGUCAGCUCGCGUCGUGAGAUGUUGGGUUAAGUCCCGCAACGAGCGCAACCCUCGUUCUAUGUUGCCAGCACGUAAUGGUGGGAACUCAUGGGAUACUGCCGGGGUCAACUCGGAGGAAGGUGGGGAUGACGUCAAGUCAUCGUGCCCCUUAUGUCUUGGGCUUCACGCAUGCUACAAUGGCCGGUACAAAGGGCUGCAAUACCGCGAGGUGGAGCGAAUCCCAAAAAGCCGGUCCCAGUUCGGAUUGAGGUCUGCAACUCGACCUCAUGAAGUCGGAGUCGCUAGUAAUCGCAGAUCAUCAACGCUGCGGUGAAUACGUUCCC
rnacentral:rRNA from 1 species